rnacentral:rRNA from 1 species
GAUGAACGCUAGCGGCAGGCUUAACACAUGCACGUCGAGGGGUAUAGUUCUUCGGAGCUAGAGACCGGCGCACGGGUGCGUAACGCGUAUGCAAUCUACCUUUUGCAGAGGGAUAGCCCAGAGAAAUUUGGAUUAAUACCUCAUGGUAUGUGAGAAUGGCAUCAUUUUCACAUUAAAGUCACAACGGCAAAAGAUGAGCAUGCGUCCCAUUAGCUAGUUGGUAAGGUAACGGCUUACCAAGGCAACGAUGGGUAGGGGUCCUGAGAGGGAGAUCCCCCACACGGGUACUGAGACACGGACCAGACUCCUACGGGAGGCAGCAGUGAGGAAUAUUGGACAAUGGGCGCAAGCCUGAUCCAGCCAUGCCGCGUGCAGGAUGACGGUCCUAUGGAUUGUAAACUGCUUUUGUACAGGAAGAAACACUGGUUCGUGAACCAGCUUGACGGUACUGUAAGAAUAAGGAUCGGCUAACUCCGUGCCAGCAGCCGCAGUAACAC